rnacentral:lncRNA from 1 species
UCUCUACUACAGAAAUCAUUGAGCUCUGAGUUGUAAAAUUCCAACCCAUUGUUGGUCCGAAGAUGCUUAACUUUCCUUUGUCUGUCUCUCAACCAUCGUCUUCCAUUUAACAAAUGUUCGCAAUGCCUCAUUUUUUUCUUUCAGAAAAUACAUUCAUACUAUUCUUGAGUAACCGUCAAUCAAAAACAUAAAAUGCGUGG